rnacentral:rRNA from 1 species
GACGAACGCUGACGGCGUGCUUAACACAUGCAAGUCGAAGGGAGUGGCGAACGGGUGAGUAACACGUGAGUAACCUGCCCUUUUCUUUGGGAUAAGCCUGGGAAACUGGGUCUAAUACUGGAUGGAUUGGGAUGGGCUCGCGGCUUAUCCGCUGGUUGGGGGGGUGAUGGCUUACCAAGGCUUUGACGGGUAGCCGGCCUGAGAGGGUGGUCGGGCACACGGGGACUGCGAUACGGUCAAGAAUCCUACGGGAUGCAGCAGUGGGGGAUAUUGCACAAUGGACGAAAGUCGGAUGCAGCGACGUCGGGUAUGAAGAAGGCCUUCGGGUUGUAAAGUACUUUCAGCGGGGAGGCGUUACCCGCAGAAGAAGCACCGGCUAACUCCGUGCCAGCAGCCGCGGUAAUAC